CGGUGGAGCAUGUGGUUUAAUUCGAAGCAACGCGAAGAACCUUACCAGGUCUUGACAUCCCUGACAACCCGAGAGAUCGGGCGUUCCCCUUCGGGGGGACAGGGUGACAGGUGGUGCAUGGUUGUCGUCAGCUCGUGUCGUGAGAUGUUGGGUUAAGUCCCGCAACGAGCGCAACCCUCGACCUUAGUUGCCAGCAUUCAGUUGGGCACUCUAAGGUGACUGCCGGCUAAAAGUCGGAGGAAGGUGGGAUGACGUCAAAUCAUCAUGCCCCUUAUGACCUGGGCUACACACGUGCUACAAUGGUUGGUACAACGAGUUGCGAGUCGGUGACGGCGAGCUAAUCUCUUAAAGCCAAUCUCAGUUCGGAUUGUAGGCUGCAACUCGCCUACAUGAAGUCGGAAUCGCUAGUAAUCGCGGAUCAGCACGCCGCGGUGAAUACGUUCCCGGGCCUU
rnacentral:rRNA from 1 species